rnacentral:lncRNA from 1 species
GAAUACCAGUCUCCUGGCGGCGGCUGGCACAGCGGAGCUGCUCUCCAAGCAGCGGGGUUCCCAGGCUGGGAAGUUUGCAUUGCCGUUUCUUUGCGGGCGGGCGGCGAGCGCCGACUGCAUGCCACCUGCGAGAGGAAGAGGCCGGUGAAGUCUCACUCUGUUGCCCAGGCUGGAGUGCAGUGGCACGAUCUCGGCUCGCUGCAACCUCCACCUCCCAGGUUCAAGCGAUCCUUCUGUUUCAGCCUCUCCAGUGGCUGGUAUUACAGGAACACACCACCAUGCCUGGCUAAUGCUUCUCUUUCUAUAAAUGAAGACGUGAGGCCGUGUAAGCUCCAAGAGAGCAGGGAUCUUGUUUGUCUUGGUCACCGUGAUAUUUCAGCUGCUGACCCAGUGCUUGAAGCAUACAAUCUGGAGUCUCCACAACUUUCUUCAUGGAACCACCACCAGGCCCCUUCUGUAGGCUUCUUAUGGAGGCUGAAGGUGUCUACAUGGCAGCAUAAAAUAGUAAUUAAGGACUCUGGAGUCACUGCCCAGGCUCAAAUCCCUGCUGCAAAUUGCGAGGUCUUUGAUCAAUGAAGAGAAGUGUCCUUAGGUCCGGCUGCUGGUGUGAAGUAUGCUCUGGAGGUCUGACAUCCACUCUCCCUCAGACUUUCUAAUACGGCAGGAAUUCCGUCCAUGUAUACUCAAGCUAGAGUUGCCAGAUGAAAUGGAGGACAUGGCUGGGUGCGGUGGCUCAGCUCGGAGCAGUGGCUCACGCCUGUAAUCCCAGCACUUUGGGAGGCCGAGGUGGGCUGAUGGCCUGAGGUCAGGAGUUCAAAACCAGCGUGGCCAACAAGAUGUGCCAGUUCUGGUAAAUUUCCUAGCAAGCUUGAAGGAAGUGAAGGACAACUGCAAGGAAGGGCAGGAUGGAGCAUGCAGCCCACGUAUUCCCCAGCUUGGUGGGGCAGAAUGCGUUCUUGGCUCCUGAGGAAUGGGCAGGCAACGCACAGGGGUCCUGGGAAGAAAGGGAGAGAAUAUCCUGGGAGAGCCAUAGACCCUGGCACCCUCCUGUGGUCCUUCAUCAGGAUAAAUUUCUAAAAGAAGAAUUACUGGCCAAAGGAUUCCUCUUCAGUUGGAAACAGCAGCAAAGUUCACAGGUCGUGAGUGGAUGUAAAGUGGACGGAACAGGUUGUUGCCAGUCUAUUGGAGUAGGAUGGUAGAUGAGCAGUCCCGUUGGCUAACAGCAGGGGACCCUGGGGCACUCGUCUCCAGCUCUGCCUCACUCUUUGAGGAGCUAGUUCCAGUUCUACUGUGAGUGUGCAAGGGGCUGGUCAGCUGUAGCAAAACCAGCACUGGACAUGGGGGAUCAGAAGACCCCGGCACACAUAGUUCAAGUUGUGACACAUAUUGGUAUGUGACCUUAAGUGAAUCCCUUACCCCUCUGCUGCCAUGUUUUAUGUGUAAAAUGAUAAAGAGAGGGGUGGACUGAGGUAGUAAUUUUUAAUGGAGAACAUUGGUGUGGCAAAUUACACAUGUUCUGGCCUGAAGAUUCUGAGCUGCUCUCCUUGGAGUCACAUUCUUUCCCAGUGUGUGAACAUCUGUGUGCAGUGAGAGACAUGCCUGAUGGGGAUCUGUUGCCUGAAGCCAGUGUGAAGGCAGGAAAAGGCUUGUUGGAAUUUAAAUACGACCAAUCAAAAUGUGUUUAGGCUUCAAAGGAAAAAGUUCUCCAUAAAUACACCAGAAUUUCAUUCUAACAUGAUUCAUUCAUUCAAAGAGCACAGCUGCACAAGGGGAAGACAGCUGCCACAUGGUAACGCAGUCCUGUAAAGAGUCCCAUGUGGUGAGAGACGUGGUUGGGAGUGAGCUUGGAAGUGGAUCCCCAACCCUCGUCCCCAAACUGAGACUUCACAUGAGACUGCAGCUCUGGCCAACAGCUUCACUGUAACCUCACAACAGACCUUGAGCCACAAGCACCCAGCUAAGCUGCAGGGAGACCCCCUGAAACUAUUGCUACGGAAUAAAAGAUGAAAUGCUCCUGAUUAUUGUAAAUACAAAGUUGCAUGCAGGAUUGUGUAAAGACAAUGCCAGGUUGGACUGCCAGAAUGAGCCAACUGCACGUGAUGUGAUUCCCCCUGCAGAGAGCCUAUGAAUGGACGUGCAGUCAGGGAGGUUUCACAUCACCAAGAUUCCUAUCCUAGAAAGGCAGAUGUUCAUAGCUCUAGGAAUGGAAUGCGACCCUUGUGGAGAGCCUAUAAACGGAUGCAUGGGGGUGGGGCGCCUGUCCAUAUGGAUAAGAUAGGGCUAGAAACGCCCUCAUCUUGCCACAGCUCUUCUAGGCCUCUUUAGGGUUAAGGCAUACUCCCUUCUGAGAAUUUCUGGUCUAACUGGUUGUCUAGCUUCACAUCCUGUUUCCGUGGAUUGUUUGUAACCAGCUUUUGUUGCAAUUGUUACUGCUGAUUAAUAUCUUGCUAAUCAUAGGUUAUGGAAAGAUUGUGCUUCUGUUUUAAGGCUCUGUUAGAAAUUACUGACGCACACACUAUAUUGUAAAUUCUUAUCUCUCUAUGCUGUACUUCUACAUACAAAUGUACUGUACUUCUACAUACAAAUGUACUGUACUUCUACAUACAAAUGUUAUGUUAAUUACUUCAUCCCCAUGUGACCAUCUCACCUCAUAAUCAAAUGACCCUAAAUCCCUCACUAACCAACCCCCACCCUCACUUAACUUAAUAAUAAACGCUGGUAUAUCCAGAGCAUUGUUGGCACCAUGGGACCAGAAGGCGGUGACCCCCCUGGACCCAGCUUUCACUAUCUUGUGUGUGUCUAUUAUUUCCCAACCUGCUGAUCUGCCUGGGAACAAAGAGAGAGCCCCAUUGCAUUGUGGGCUGCUGACCAGAUCCUGAAGAUGCAUGCAACAACGAGACAGAGAAAUUUGCUGAAAAAGCACCACAGCAGGAAACAACUAACACAUCCAAUCAUCAAAAAGAAGAAAAGACCACGCUAACUCCUUUACAACAGACAAUCCAGACAGCCAUCCUGAACAACUUGUCUCCAGCGAUCCAGGUCUGGCUCAACCUCUGCCUCCUCCUGAUGACACUGAUCCUUCUACCUCUGUUACGCCACAGACUGUUAAAAACUAUACAUAUUGGGCCUAUAUUCCUUUUCCUCCUCUUAUUCGAGCCGUGACAUGGAUGGAUGCUCCUAUCGAGGUCUAUGUUAAUGAUAGUAUUUGGAUGCCUGGUUCUCUAGAUGAUCGUUGUCCUGCACAACCUUCAGAAGAAGGAACCCCUUUCAAUAUCACUUUAGGUUUUAGGUAUCCACCUUUCUGCCUGGGACCCACUAAUGUAUGUCUCUCAUUAGAUAUUCAAACUUGGGCUGUCACACUACCGUCUGGUCACUCUGUCCCUCCUUUAGGACACUUGAUAUCAGGGCUCUCAUUAAAACCUCUAAGGCAGAUCAAAACAGUAAUCACUGAUUAUAUUCACACAUCCCAAUAUAAGCCUUUAGACCUGUGUGUCCUCUCAACUUGUCUUCAAAUGCUGACAAAAUUAAUAUGGAAAGACUGUGUUAGCUCAGAAGGAACCGUGUUAUUUAAUUCUUCUCACUACACCAUUGUUGAUUGGGCUCCUAAAGGUCAUAUUACUAAUGAUUGCUCUCAAGGUCACAGAGAUUGUCAACAUUUUCUCUAUAAUAUUACUUAUCAAAAACGUAGUGACAGCCCUCCCCUAUUAUAUCGUAGAUUUAACUCCUUUUUUCCUCUUAAGUGGAAAGGGGCAGGGGUUGCGCCUCCAAAGCCAAGGCUCAUUGUUCCCCACAUAGGACCUGAACAUUCCAAAUUAUGGAGAUUAACAAUAGCUAUGACUGGUAUGAGAGUUUGGGCUGGAGAAAGUGUUAUAAGUAAAUCCACUUUGUCACCUCAAAAUGUAUAUACUCUCUAUAUGGAGUCCAACAAAACUAUACCACUUAAAAGUUGUGUUAAACCACCAUAUAUGUUAUUAGCAGGAAAGUUGCAUAUUAGUUCAAAAACCAACAUAAUUACCUGUGUUAAUUGUUACUUGUAUACUUGUAUUGACUCAUCCUUUAAUCAAUAUCAUAGUAUUUUAAUAGUCAGAGCCAGACAAGAUAUUUGGCUCCCUGUAGCCUUACAUAGGCCUUGGGAAUCUUCCCCCUUUAUCCAUGUUAUUAACAAUAUUCUAUAGAAAAUUCUUAAAAGGAGUAAACAAUUUAUUUUUACAUUAAUUGCAAUAAUAAUGGGCUUGAUUGCUGUUACUGUGAUUGCUGCUACUGCUGGAGUUGCAUUACGUCCAUCUAUUCAAACUGUUCAUUUUGUGGAUAAAUGGCAAAAAAAUUCUACUCGGAUGUGGAAUUCUCAGGUAUUGAUCAAAAAUUGGCUAAUCAAAUUAAUGAUCUAAGACAAACUGUUAUAUGGAUGGGAGGUAGAAUUAUGAGUUUAGAACAUAGAUUACAAAUGCAAUGUGAUUGGAAUACUUCUGAUUUUUGUAUAACUCCAUUUCAAUAUAAUGAGUCUGUUCACAAUUGGGAAUCAGUAAAAUGCCAUUUACAAGGAAGUGAAGAUAAUUUAAAGCUUUAGACAUAAGCAAACUAAAAGAACAGAUUUUUGAGGCCUCUCAAGCACACUUAACUGCUUUACCCGGUGCUGAAGUUUUAGACGGUAUCUCUGAGGGAUUAUCUAAUCUCAACCCCAUUCAAUAGGUAAAAUCUUUGGGAGGAUCCACUAUCGUUAAUUUUGUUCUGUGUAUAAUUUGUACUAUUGGUUUAUUGUUCAUGUGUAAAAUUGGAAAAAAUAUUCUUCAGUCCAAUUGUGAUCAGUGCCAAGCUAUGAUUGCUAUGGUUCAUUUAAAUCAGAGAGAAGGGGGAGAUGUAAGGAGACCCCCUGAAACUGUUGCUAUGGAAUAAAAGAUGAAAUGCUCCUGAUUAUUGUAAAUACAAAGUUGCAUGCAGGAUUGUGUAAAGACAAUGCCAGGUUGGACUGCCAGAAUGAGCCAACUGCACGUGAUGUGAUUCCCCCUGCAGAGAGCCUAUGAAUGGACGUGCAGUCAGGGAGGUUUCACAUCACCAAGAUUCCUAUCCUAGAAAGGCAGAUGUUCAUAGCUCUAGGAAUGGAAUGCGACCCUUGUGGAGAGCCUAUAAACGGAUGCAUGGGGAGGUGGCUGUCCGUAUGGAUAAGAUAGGGCUAUAAACGCCCUCAUCUUGCCACAGCUCUUCUAGGCCUCUUUAGGGUUAAGGCAUACUCCCUUCUGGGAAUUUCUGGUCUAACCGGUUGUCUAGCUUCACGUCCUGUUUCCAUGGAUUGUUUGUAACCAGCUUUUGUUGCAAUUGUUACUGCUGAUUAAUAUCUUGCUAAUCAUAGGUUAUGGAAAGAUUGUGUUUCUGUUUUAAGGCUCUGUUAGAAAUUACUGACACACACACUAUAUUGUAAAUUCUUAUCUCUCUAUACUGUACUUCUACAUACAAAUGUACUGUACUUCUACAUACAAAUGUUAUGUGAAAGAAUUACUUCAUCCCCAUGUGACCAUCUCACCUCAUAAUCAAAUGACCCUAAAUCCCUCACUAACCUACCCCCACCCUCACUAAACUUAAUAAUAAACGCUGGUAUAUCCAGUGCAUUGUUGGCACCAUGGGACC